GACGAACGCUGGCGGCGUGCUUAACACAUGCAAGUCGAACGGAAAGGCCCUGCUUUUGUGGGGUGCUCGAGUGGCGAACGGGUGAGUAACACGUGAGUAACCUGCCCUUGACUUUGGGAUAACUUCAGGAAACUGGGGCUAAUACCGGAUAGGAGCUCCUGCUGCAUGGUGGGGGUUGGAAAGUUUCGGCGGUUGGGGAUGGACUCGCGGCUUAUCAGCUUGUUGGUGGGGUAGUGGCUUACCAAGGCUUUGACGGGUAGCCGGCCUGAGAGGGUGACCGGCCACAUUGGGACUGAGAUACGGCCCAGACUCCUACGGGAGACAGCAGUGGGGAAUAUGGCACAAUAGGCGGAAGCCUGAUGCAGCAACGCCGCGUGCGUGAUGACGGCCUUCGGGGUAUAAACCGCUUUCGCCUAUGACGAAGCGUUAGUGACGGUAAUGGGUAAAGAAGCACCGGCUAACUACGUG
rnacentral:rRNA from 1 species